rnacentral:rRNA from 1 species
UACAGAGGUCCCGAGCGUUGUUCGGAUUCAUUGGGCGUAAAGGGUGCGUAGGCUGUUAGGUAAGUCAGAUGUGAAAUUUCAGGGCUCAACCUUGAAACUGCAUUUGAUACUGCUUGACUUGAGUACUGGAGGGGAAACUGGAAUUCACGGUGUAGCAGUGAAAUGCGUAGAUAUCGUGAGGAAGGCCAGCGGCGAAGGCGAGUUUCUGGACAGUUACUGACGCUGAGGCACGAAGGCUAGGGGAGCAAACGGG